UACGAAGGGGGCUAGCGUUGUUCGGAAUUACUGGGCGUAAAGCGCACGUAGGCGGAUACUUAAGUCAGGGGUGAAAUCCCGGGGCUCAACCCCGGAACUGCCUUUGAUACUGGGUAUCUCGAGUCCGGAAGAGGUGAGUGGAAUUCCGAGUGUAGAGGUGAAAUUCGUAGAUAUUCGGAAGAACACCAGUGGCGAAGGCGGCUCACUGGCUCGGAACUGACGCUGAGGUGCGAAAGCGUGGGGAGCAAACAGG
rnacentral:rRNA from 1 species